ensembl:lncRNA novel transcript
UUUUUACUUAAACAUUAUCAGAGAGGUUAUGAAGCCUUCCUGAAUGCUCAUUCAAGGUUGUACAAGAAGCAUGGCACCAGCAUCUGCAUCUGAUGAGGACCUCAGGGUGCUUCCACUUGUGGCAGAAGAAGGGGAGCUAGCAUGUGCAGAUGCCACAUGGCGAGAGAUAAAGGAAAGGAAAGAGGAGGAAGGUUCCAGGCUCUUUUUAACAAUCGGACCUCACAGGAACUAAUAGUGUGAGAAGAUGUUUAACAUAUUCUAAUAAGAAAGAUAUUCCUAAUAAACUGCCGUGAGAUAACUGCUAUA